rnacentral:lncRNA from 1 species
GGAUGGAUCUAAACUCGAUCUGGACCUAAAUUUUUCAGAUUAAGACCGGACCAUGUAUAAACCCAACCCGAAUAACCCAUUGGAUCAAAUAAUUUAGCCAUAAAUCCAACUCGAUCAGAUCUUCUAUUGAGUUGAAUCUAGAACUAACAUUAAAACCGGAACAAGAAACUGAAUCAGAUCGAAAUCACUCAUGCCCUGUAAAGUUGACAAAUUAUCAUGGGCAACCCCGGACCUUUUCCUCUCAUAGCCAUGCUUUAGGCAUGCCCACCCACAAACUUAGUAGGUCCAAUGUGCAAACAUUGGCUCAUCCUUUUCAUCCAGCCAAAUCAAGUUGGGUGGGCCAGGGGAUAUUAGGGAUCAAUAGGAGUCAUCAUGACGGGGGUUACAACAGCCUAAUGAGCUAUACGGUAACUCACGCUUGAAUUGAUUUUACAACUGUACAAGAGCCCAGUCUUGAAACUAAAGCUUGCAACAUUUCAGCAAAUAUAGAUGGCAUUGCAAGAUAUGUCCUCUUACAACAAUUUUUUCACCAUCAUAAAUAGACCACAUUUAUUGCACCCUCGAGCACUUGAUGUCUAUAUGGCUAUUGUUUUCACU